CCUGGCGACUAUAGCGAUUUGGAACCACCUGAUACCAUCUCGAACUCAGAAGUGAAACAUUUCCGCGCCAAUGAUAGUGUGAGGCUUCCUC
rnacentral:rRNA from 1 species